rnacentral:tRNA from 1 species
GCUCAGUGGUUAAGCAUUUGGCUGCUAACCAAAAGACUGGCAGUUCGAAUCUACC